UUGCAGAUGAUGAAUAAAAUCAACAUAGUUUUGGGCUGAUUUAAACCAUGAGGCACCAAAAUCGAGCUUUUUAAAACUGAUGCUUA